rnacentral:rRNA from 1 species
GAUGAACGCUGGCGGAGUGCCUAAUACAUGCAAGUCGAGCGGCAGCGCGAGUAGUUUACUACUUGGCGGCGAGCGGCGGACGGCUGAGUAACGCGUGGGAACGUGCCCCAAAGUGAGGAAUAACUGCCCGAAAGGGUAGCUAAUGCCGCAUAUGGUCUUUGGAUUAAAGGAUUUAUCCGCUUUGGGAGCGGCCCGCGUCAGAUUAGGUUGUUGGUGAGGUAAAGGCUCACCAAGCCGACGAUCUGUAGCUGGUCUGAGAGGAUGAUCAGCCAGACUGGGACUGAGACACGGCCCAGACUCCUACGGGAGGCAGCAGUAAGGAAUCUUCCACAAUGGACGAAAGUCUGAUGGAGCAACUCCGCGUGCAGGAUGAAGGCCUUCGGGUUGUAAACUGCUUUUAUUUGUGAAGAAUAUGACGGUAACAAAUGAAUAAGGGUCGGCUAACUACGUGCCAGCAGCCGCGGUAA